GGGUGGGAAGAAAGGAGAUCGCUGAUUGGGCUGGCGAGUGUUUUUACCCGGAUGCAACGGCGAUCUCCUGCCCCGCCGUUGCUGUUUCCGGCACUGGCCUUGACUCAGUUCCUAGUUGCCCAUUGGCAGGUUUGAGACUUUUUGAGGCUCCUUGCACCUGACUGGACUGAAGGGGUGCGCGGAGACCAGGUGGUCCGAUGCCCAUUCCCCGUGGGAAAGAGGAAGCGGCAGGCUCUGGCCCCACUUGCACCCUCGCAUCACAGAAGACGUCAUGCAAAAGACAGACAUGUUCAUACAAAUUAUGUCUUUCGUGUUUCCACCUUUCAGUUCACUAUCUAGAGAUAACAUUCACAAUUUAUUCUUCAAGAAUUAAGUCUGUAACUGUGUAUAAUAUUCUCUUGGUUCUAUUUAUUUCUCUAUUCAUUACUCCAUGUAGUUCUUUCCAACUUUUAUUAAAAUUAGCCCACUUUUCAUUUCUUACAAUGAAGUAGUAUUCCAUCAGAAUCAUAUACCACAAUUUCUUUAGCCAUUCCUCAAUAGAUGGGUAUGCCUUCAAUUUCCAGUUCUUUGCUACCACAAAGAGAGCUGCUAUUAAUAUUUUGAAACAUGUAGAUUCUUUUCCUUUUUUUUAAUCUCCUUGGAAAAUAGAUCCAUUUGGGGGACUAAAGGCAUACAGUUUUAUAACUCCCUUGGUAUAAUUCCAGAGUGCUCUCCAAAAUGGCUAGAUUAAUUCACAGCUCCACCAACAGUGCAUUAGCCUGCUCAUCUUACAUAAGGUGCAGUGUCCCCAUUUUUCCAACUCCUCCAAAGUUUGUCAUUUUGCCCUUUUGUAAUAUUAGCUAGGCUGAUAGGUGAGAGAUAUCUCAAAAUUGUUUUGGUUUGCCUUUCUCUAAUUAGCUCUAAUUAGAGCUUUCUUGCAUAUAACUAUAUGCUUUGAUUUCUUCAUCCAGAAAUUGUUCAUAUCUUUUGCCCAUUUAUCAACUGUGGAGUUUAUUCUUUUAUUUUCCAGGUGAUUUACAGAGGUAAUAUAACUAAAGAGUAAUUCUGAUGAAAGGAUAGCAUAAGCAAAAGCACAGAAGGAGGAAAGUGUAAAAGAAGGGGACAUGAAGUAGACUAAUUUGGUAGGAGAAUAGGUGUUGAUGAGAGGUAGAAAAUAAAGCUAGAAAGGUAAAUGGAAGCCACAUGUUAAAGGCCUCAAAAGCAGACUCAGAAAUAUAAACUUUAAUUCUUUUAAUUUUUAAUUAUGUAAGAGUGUUAAUUUAACAAACUUUUAUCAAGAUCCUAAUUGUACUACACACUAGUGAUACAAAAACAUAUAUGACUAAAAGCCUGUUUUUAAGGAGCCCAUACUCAAAUGGUAGGAAAAGACAUAUAAACAAGUAAUGGAAACACAAGGAAACAUAAGAUAUAGGCAAUGUCUGUAUCUAUGAAAAAACACUGAAAUGCAAAAGAUCACAUGGGGAAAGGCACAAAAAUAGAAGAAGAAAUUAGAAUACAAUAGCAAGUAGUCCAGUUUUAUUGGAACUUAGUGUACAUGAGGAUGUAGGUUAAAUAUAGCAAAAGAUGUAAAUUAUAGCUUGACUUAUAGCAUCACUACAGAAAUAUUCAUAGCAGCUUUAUUCAUAACAAACAUGGAACAUAUAUGUGUCCAAUUACAUUAUAGUCUGUGUGCAUAAUGGAAUAUCAUUGCACCGUAAGGAAUGAGAAGUAUGAGAAAACAAAGUGAUACAGAAUGAAGAAAGCAGAAUCAAAAUAAUACACACACUGAUUGUAAUUAUGUGAUGAUAACAUGUAAAUCUUGAAAUCUCUCAGACUUGUGAAUGUUAAAAAUUCCCCCAUCAGGGAAUUCUUAAUUGGAACAAAUUCCCUACUGAGAAACAUUCCCCAUUUUGAUGUGAGAACUCGCCAGGAUCAGAAAUGGGAGGACCUCUACUCCAAUCGUACUUAAGACUGCUUUAGGGGAGAAAACUCCUUGCUAUGGGAGGACCCCUACUCUACCAGUACUUAAGACUGCUUUAGUAGAGAAAACUCCUUGCUAAACAAUGAAAGUACUUGGACCCAUGCUUAUAAUAAGGCAAGGAGUUCUUUGAGCCAGGCCUGUUUUUAGAAUUGAUACAAUGGGAUGCUAGGUACCUAAAAGGGUCGGGCAAGUUUUCUCUUGAUGAGAUUAGUUGACUCAGCUGUGUUUUCUCUCAUUCAGACUUACUGAGGAUCUUGGUCAACACAGCAGCAUUUUUUCUGAUUCAGACUUACUGAGGAGAUUGGUCGACUUAGCAGGAAUUUAGAUGGGCAGUCCUUUGGAAAGCGUCUACAGUGAUUGGUAGAUUUAGGGACUUAGGGGAGGUGACAUGGGAGAAAAACCCCUAUAUAAGAAAAAGCAGAAACUCUUGAGGAGAUAUCCUUUUGGAAAAAUCCUUUUGGAGGAUCUCUGAUGAGGAUCGCUUGGGAAGAAUCUCUUGAGAGAGGCUCUGGAGAAGGGAAGCUCUUGGAGGACAAUCUCUAAGGAGGUCUCGCUGGAGCUCCUCUAAGGGGACUCUGUUCCUCUGGAGGCUCUGGAGAGAGGCCCUUUGGAACAGUAUCUGGCUGGAAGGCUCUCUGGUGAAGUCAGCUGAGAUGGAGCUGGCCUGGUGUUACUAGAAUCCUUGUUUAGUCAGACCUUGUGGUGAGUGUAAAAAAACUGACUGAUUUCUCUCUUAAGACUCAGGUCUAGGCCAUAUUGGCUUGAGGCCCUUCAUACUUAUUCCUUUCUUACUCUUUCUCUCUUUCUCUAAUUCCUCAUUAUAUUAUUAAUUAAAAAUCUCUAUAAAACCCAGUUGACUUGGGUAUUUGAAUAAUUGGGAAUAUUUCCCUGGCGACCACCUUAUAUUUGAUUUAAAACCAAGACACUGUAGUGAAACAUAUUUUCUGUGGUCAAAUUUACUCACCCUCUCUUAUAUCUAUCACAAUUUAUAUCUUCCACCAUUUUAACUCACCACAGUUUAAGACCUCAACCAUUUUAAAUCUCACAAACAUUAGGAAAAAUAUACUAAAGGUAGUAUUCAAAAGUAAGUAUUUUUUAAGUAUAAGUUUUAGAGUUUGUAGAAUUAUUUUUAUCCUCAUUUGUGUAUUUGAAGGUUUUUGUUGAUGUUAUAUCUGCUAAGCUUAAAAUACAAUUUUUAAAAUAAUAAAAAGGUCAUUCUAAGGUCAUGAGCUAGGAUAAUAGGAGGAUCAAAAUUAAGAGGUUUGAGAGGACACUUUUUAUUGUUUUUAUUUUUAAUUUUUAAUUUAUUUUUUUUCCUUCUAAAAAUUAUUUUAUUUGGUCAUUUCCAAACAUUAUUCAUUGGAAACAAAGAUCAUUUUCUUUUCCUCCCCCCACACCACCACCACCUCUCCCAUAGCCGAAGUGCGAUUCCACUGGGUAUCACAUGUGUUCUUGAUUCAAACCCAUUUCCAUGUUGUUGGUAUUUGCAUUAGAGUGUUCAUUUAGAGUCUCUCCUCAGUCAUAUCCCCUCAACCCCUGUAGUCAAACAGUUGCUUUUCCUCAGUGUUUUUACUCCCUCAGUUUAUCCUCUGCUUGUGGAUAGUGUUUUUUAGAUCCCUGCAGAUUGUUCAGGGACAUUGCAUUGACACUAAUGGAGAAGUCCAUUAUGUUCGAUUGUACCACAGUGUAUCAGUCUCUGUGUACAAUGUUUUCCUGGUUCUGUUCCUUUUGCUCUGCAUCACUUCCUGGAGGUUGCUCCAGUCUCCAUGGAAUUCCUCCACUUUAUUAUUCCUUUUAGCACAAUAGUAUUCCAUCACCAACAAAUUCCACAAUUUGUUCAGCCAUUCCCCAAUUGAAGGGCAUCCCCUUGUUUUCCAAUUUUUGGCCACCACAAAGAGUGCAGCUAUGAAUAUUUUUGUACAAGUCUUUUUCCUUAUUAUCUCUUUGGGGUACAAACCCAGCAGUGCUAUGGCUGGAUCAAAGGGCAGACAGUCUUUUAUCGAGAAGGGCAGUUUUUAGAAGGAUGCCAAGUUCAAUUUCAGAGGUACUGAAUUUGAGAUAAUAGCAGGAGAUUCAGGUGGAAUUGGAAAUAUAACACUUGAGAUCUCAGGAAACAGUUGGAAAUGGAAUGGAGAUUUGAAAGUCAUCAGCAUUAAGGAAAUCAUUAAAAUCAUGUAGUGAAAGUAACUCUGUAGAGAAAGAACCAAGGAUGAGGAGACAGAAGGAGCUUUCAUUGAGAUAACCCCUUACCACUCUAAGACAAGGGUAAGAAAGGAAAGAAAGAAUAUUGGGGAAAAGACUUGGAUUUAGUAAGGAGGUCAUUAGUGACCUUUGAGAGAGAUGUUCUGGUAGAAUGGUAGGAAUAGAAGCUAGAUUAAGGGUUUGAGGAGCAAGUAGAUAAUGAGGAAAGGCAGCAAGGCCACUUUUUAUAAAAGAUUAGCAAUGCAUGUGAAGACAAUACAGUAGCUUGUAGAAAUGGCAUAGUCAAGGGAAAGAUUUAGUUUAUUUCCAAAUAAAGGAGAUUAGAAUAUAUUGGUAGACUGAAAAGGAGCAAUAGUAAGAAAAGAAAGAUUGAAAAUGCAGCAGAAUAUGCUCUGCUCAUUGGGUGAGCUUGCUUUUUUUAAUUCUGAGAGAAAAGUAUUCAUAUAUCAAAAAGGGAUUUUUUUAAACCCUUACCUUCUGCCUUAAAAUCAUUACUGUGUAUUGGUUCCAAAGCAAAAGAUUGGUAAGGGCUAGGCAAUGGGGCUUAAGUGACUUGCCCAGGGUCACACAGCUAGGAAGUGUCUGAGUCUACAUUUGAAUUUAGGGCCUCCCAUCUCUAGAUCUCACUCUCAAUCCACUAAUCCAUCCAGCUUCCCCCUCAAAAAGGGGGCACAUAGACCUUAAUACCUUAAAAUUUCUUUCAGGGGUGGAGAAAGAAUGACUGGAAUCAACUUCCAGAUGUAUUUGAGUACUUGGAAGGGGCUAAAUUCUUACAUUCUAAUAGCAAAAGAAGUGACAAACAAUCCUUCUAAAUUCCACUGUCUAUAAGAGAGUAAAGAAAGACAAAUGAAGAGCCUAAUCAUGGUUCUGUUCUGUUUUGCUCAUUUUCAAAGAGGAAUAAAAAGGGAAGGAAAAGGAUACACUAGGGAAGAAAUCAGUAGUAAAAGAAAGGAACUUACUAUUACUCAUAAUUGGAAUGCACCAAAAAAUAAUACAUAAUGGAGUCAUUUGCCACAGGGUUAUGUGGAAAGCCCAAGUUUAUUUGAGCAAAUUUUGAGCCAAGACACAGAUAAUAUAGCAGUUAAAAAUAGCAAAUUAAUCAAAUAUGUAGAUGAUCUACUCUUGGCUUCAACAGACACAGAAACAUGUCAAGAAGAUAGUAAACACCUUCUUUUGGAAUUGCACAAAAGAGGACAUAAAAUCUAGAAGGAUACGGUUCAAUGCUGUCUCCCUAAAGUAGAAUAUUUGGGAUUCAUCCUGACUGCGGGUACUUGUUAUAUUUCUCCAAAACGAAUUGAGAAUAUUCAAAAUUUGAGCCCUCCUACUACUAAGAAACAGUUGAGAGCGAUUUUAGGAGCAACAGGGUUUUGCAGACAAUGGAUUCCCUGCUAUGGGGAAAUUACUAAACCCCUUAUAGCACUAACAAAGGAUUCGGUUCCUGAAUCUCCUGCUUCUAACCAACCCACCCCUUCCCCUGCCCCCUUGGCCUCAGAAAAUCCUACUCAUGCUUCCAAUCCUAUAACCUCCCAUCUAAGUUCACACCCUACCCAUGCUUCUAUCCUAUACUCUCCACUCUGAAUUCACAACCUGCCCAUGUUUCCAAUCCCACACCCUCCACUCUGAGUUCACAACCUGCCCAUGCUUCCAACCCUACCACACCUUCCACUCUUAAGUUCACACCCCACCCAUGCUUCCAAUCCUAAUGCCUCCACUUCACACCCUACUCAUUCCUCCAACCCUAACACCUCUGUAUCUUUUCUCCCAGCCAAUGACCCUUCUUCCUCUGCCCCUCCUUCCCACCCUGCCCAGUUCAAUUCCCAGAUCCUUCCUACCUCUGAUUUUUCUGGCACAACAACGGACCCUCUCCUCAGUGUGCCCAACUCUUCUCUUUCUCAUACCUACCCCAUUGAGAAUGGAUUAAGAAGGCUAGAAAGAGAAACAGGAGUACCAAAUAAUUCAGAUAGGUUAUUUCCUUUAAGGGAAGUACCCACUUUUAAUAAAAAUGGAAACUUGGUAUCUAUAAGACAUCAUACACCUUUUAACCCUGAAGAUUUAAAUAAAUUUAAGGAAGAUCUUCCAUCAUUUGAGAAAGAACCAAUAUUAAUUAUAAAAAGAUUAGAGAACAUAUUCAGAACUUUUGAUCCCACUUGGAUGGAUGUUGAGAAUUUGUUAGAGACAUUUUUAACAAAAAGGGAAAAAAUAUCUCUGUCUAAUCAAAAAUGAGGUAGAAGCAUGUUGCUAAAGCAUAGAACACAAGCAUUCUCAGAUCAGAGAAUUACAAGGUAUGAAAUAACUUGUUAAAUAGUGAAAACAUUACCUUGAAACGUUAUACUAACCCUGCCACCUUGCUUCCAGAUUUACCAACUUCAGGAGAACCAUUACACAAUUGUGAAACAUUAGUGUCCAUGGCAGAAAAGCCUCGAGAUAAUCUCUUGGACACUCCCUUAGACAAUGCAGAUCUGAUCUUAUUUACUGAUGGUUCCUCUUUUAUGAGGGUUGGCAUACGCUACACUGGAGCUGCCUUAGUCUCAGAAUUUGCCAUUGAGUGGUCAGCUUCACUACCUUCUAACAUUAGCACUCAAGGAGCAGAACUCAUAGCUCUGAAGCACUCUUGUAUAAUUGCCAAGGCUAAAAAGGCAAUGAUUUAUACGGAUUCUAGAUAUGUUUUUGGCAUUUGUCACUCAGUCGGAAUGCUAUGGCUCCAGAGAGGAUUUUUAACCUCAGCUGGAAAAUCUAUAGCUAAUACAUAAAUUAUUAAUGAAGUUCUUUCUGCUCUCCAGUUUCCUGAAGCCCUAGCUGUAGUUCACUGCUCUGCCCAUACAGGUGGAACUUACUCUGUCUCUAGAGGAAAUGAUCGAGCAGAUGACACUGCAAAGCUAGCAGCCAUAGAAGGACAUGAAUUAAUUUUAACAUUAACAACCACUGAUGAUUUAAAUUUAUCACUUUCCUACAAUGAAAAGGAAGUGGAAAAAUGCAAACAAAAAUUCAAAGCAAAACAGAUCAAUGGAGUAUGGGUGUCAUCUGAAGGAAAACCCCUGCUCCCUAGAAGUUUCUUUCACCAAAUUUGCCAAUCUAUUCAUAAAAAUGGUCAUUUUGGCACCCAGGGCAUCAUGGACUCUUUCAAGAGAGUAUGGAUAGCCCCUGGUAUAACUACUAUAGCCUCUAAAGUGUGUUCAGCCUGCUCUACGUGUCAAGCAUAUUAACCAACAUGCAUUUCGUUGAAAAGCCUUUGGUGGGCGUCUUCUGGCUUACACACCUUUUGAACAUCUACAGAUAGAUUUCAUAACAAUGCCAAAGGCUGGACAUUACAAAUUUUGUCUAGUCAUAGUAGAUCAACUAACCAGAUGUCUGGAAGCAUUUCCUGCGACCCGAGCUACAGCGGAUUUUGUUGCUAAGACACUUUUAAAAGAAAGUAUUCCUCGCUUUGGACUGCCAGCAUUCAGAUAGAGGAAGUCAUUUUACUGAUUCUGUCCUAAAUCAGAUAUAUUCUUGCUUGGGGAUAUCUCCCAAAUUUCAUGUUCCAUAUCAUCCCCCGAGCUCAGGCCAAGUAGAGAGGAUGAACAAAGAACUUAAAACGAUUAUUGGAAAAUUAUACACUGAGACACAUUUAAAAUGGCCUGAAAUUCUCCCUCUGGCCCUAUUUUAUCUUAGAAGCAGGCCUAGAGGAGACUUACAUAUUUCACCAUUUGAGAUGCUUUUUGGACAUCCACCUAUACAGGCUAAGACUUUCUCCCUGGCAUAUACAUCACCAUUUGGGGGAGAUACUACUAUUGCUUCCUAUAUACAGGAAUUACAGCACAAACUAUGUGAACUUCAUGAAUCCGGAGCUACAAUACAAGCCAGACCACUAGAUUUUUCUCUUCAUGACCUGAACCCAGGAGACAAAGUGUAUAUUAAGAAUUUCAAGCACACUGGAGCAACUCAGCCUUCGUAGGAAGGACCAUCCCAAAUAUUGUUAACUACUCUAACAUCUAUAAAGGUUGGAGAAAAGGACUCUUGGAUUCACUGCUCACAUGUGAAGAGAACAUCUGUUGAGACUGAUUGACUGUAUCCUAUUAUAUGCAUUGGAGAUAAUAAUCUAUUAACAAAUGGAUGCUGUUUUUCAAAGACACAUUGAAUUACUAAUCUUUUCCUCCCUAUUUUUAUUAUUGCUUUUCUUUUAUUUUGAUAAGAAUAUUUGAUUUUUUCUUUAUUUUUCUUAUUUCUUAUACUAAAGGUACGUAUAAUUAAUAUUUUUUCUGCAGUAAUAGAAGUUUAAUACAUAUAUAUACUUGCUAUAAUAUCAAUGCAUACCCAAAAGCUUUAAACUAUGAGAACCUGCCAUUUAUUAAUAAAAUGUUAUGGGACUAUGAUUAAUGUUUAUGUAUGAUUCCAGGAAAUGGGAUAAAAACAAGGAGCACACAGGAAAUACUAAUGUGAAACUCAAGGUUGCGACACUUGCCAUAUGUUAAGUCGUAGGAAUUCCUUGUAUCUACACUCUUUGUGAAGUACUCAUACAAGUACCAAAAUUUGACUAUCAUGCUGGCUCCCUACAUCCCUGAGAAUGUUGAAAAAGUCAGACGAAGGAAUGAUGCUUCCCUAUCAAAAUAGAAUUCUAAUUCUUUUCCUUCUUAUAUUAUGGCAACUUCCUAUAGUCUUGGCUGCAAAUGGGUAAGUGAAAUAUUACUGCAUUCUGUCCUACAGACUUGUGGGAUAGAAAUUACUUUAAACUGGACAUAUACAAGGGCCUAUUUUGAAUUUUUUUUUCCUUAUGUUUUUGGUUGUGUUUUUCUCUUCUUUUGAUAAUUGACUCAUACAUCCCCAUAACUCAACAUUGCAUCCUGAGCUGAACUGGAUAUUUUUUAACACCUACUGCAGGGGGGGGGGGUAUUUUAAUUUAAAAUCCAAGGUUUUUUAUUUUUUGUUUGAGAUUGUAUUUUUAUAAAAAUCAAGGAUUUUUAUUUUGUUCAAGAAAAGAUCUUCAAGGAAGAAGCUUGCUAACUCCUAAAUCCAGAGAAUGAACUGUUGCAGAAAGAUGCCAGAAAACCCACACUACAUCAAGAAGAUCGUGAAUGAACUUUGGAUAUGGUUGAUUGAACUGAAGUUUGAUUGAACAUUUAUUGUAAAUGUACACAUUUAUGCCAAAAGGGACUGCCCCUAAUUUGACUUUCUGUCAAUGCACCUAGCAAAACAUUGGUUUUGCUUUCUUUCUUUUCUAUUCUUCCCUCACUAUUAUAAUUUCCUCUUAGAAAAUUGAAUAUUGUAUACAUGUGUAGUUAGAAGUGCGUUUAGGACUAUAAGAUGAUUAUGUUAAAUGAUCAUUGGGGAGACGAGUCUCCCCAAUGAUCAUCAGGGGGGAUUGUGAAUCUUAAAAUUUCUCAGACUUGUGAAUGUUAAAAAUUCUCAGACUCUACCUUAGAACAUUUGGUUAAUAAGACCAUUCCCCAUUUUAAAACAAUGAAGGGACUUUGAUCAGGAAUGUGAGAACUCUAAAAUUACUGCACCCAUACUUAGGCAUACUUUAGGGGAAGAUAAUUCCUUAUUGAACAAUGGAAAAGUACUUAACUCAUACUUAUAGGGAGGCAAAAGCCCUUAAGCUAAGUCUAUUUUUAGGUCUAAUAAAAAGGUGCUAAGUACCUAUGAAAGUCAAAUUAAUCACUAAAAGGUCAGGCAACUUGCAAACUUGCAAGGGACAAGCUUAACAAAAGAGGUGUGAAGUUUUAGUCUACCCAGAGAAGUUGAGAACUAAAGAAGAUGUGAAUUUCCUUUGGAAAAUGUCUACUGUAAUUGGUAGAUGUGAAAACUUAGGGGAGGUGACAUGGGAGAAAAUUCUCUUUAAAAAGAGGUCAGAAAGGCCUCUGAGGGGUUCAGCUUGCCAAAGCUGCAUUGUAGGGCUCAGUGGCUGAACUUAGUGGAGCUGAGGAGCUAAACUGGAGGGUCUCUCUGAACAUUAGAAUCUUGCUUGGGACAAAUCUUGCGGUGAGUGGAUUAAAGACUGACUGGUCUCUCUUAAGGCUCAGGCCUAGGCCCCUCAUACAUUAUUUCCUCUUACUCUCUCCCUUUCAUUAAUUCCUUAAUUUGUAUUAAGUAAAAUCUCCAUAAAACCCAGCUGACUUGGGUAUUUUUAAUAUUUGGGAAUUUUCCCAUGGGGACCACUUUAUUUUUAAUAUAAAAUCAAGACACUGCCUUGAAACCAUAUUUUCGCAGUCACAGUUUAAGGCAACCACUCUUUUAUCUGUAACAAUAGAGAUGAAAGUGAGAGAAGAGAACAUCUCAUGAACCUCACUUCUAUUGGAACUAGACAAAGGAAGAUUAAGGGCAGCAAGAUGGUACAGUGGAUAAAAGCACCAGGCCUACAUACAGGAAAAUGAAUCAAAAUUUGGCCUCAGCCACUAACUGAGUGACCCUGGGCAAAUCACUUAACCUUAUUUGCCUUUGCUUUCUCAUCUAUCAAGUGAGCUGGAAGAGGAAAUGGCAAACCACUCCAUUAUCUUUGCCAAGAAAAUCCCAGAUGGAGUCACAAAGAGUUGGACAUGCCUGGAACAAUUGAACAACAAGGACAACAAAGGAGGGUUAAACACACACCUUCAGUUUAUUAUAGAAAGAGGAAGAGAUGGAAGGAGGUUUCUAAGAUGAAAGUAGAGUGUGAAUGAAGUGAAUUUUCCCAUUAAAUGAGAGAAUAACAGGAUGGAUUUCAAAGCAGAAUUGAAAAAUAUUUAGUAUAAAAGAAACACUUUGAACAUAAAA